UGGCUCAGGAUGAACGCUGGCGGCGUGCCUAAUACAUGCAAGUCGAACGCACAGCGAAAGGUGCUUGCACCUUUCAAGUGAGUGGCGAACGGGUGAGUAACACGUGGAUAACCUACCUCAAGGUUGGGGAUAACAUUUGGAAACAGAUGCUAAUACCGAAUAAAACUUCGUAUCGCAUGAUACAAGGUUAAAAGGCGCUACGGCGUCACCUAGAGAUGGAUCCGCGGUGCAUUAGUUAGUUGGUGGGGUAAAGGCCUACCAAGACAAUGAUGCAUAGCCGAGUUGAGAGACUGAUCGGCCACAUUGGGACUGAGACACGGCCCAAACUCCUACGGGAGGCUGCAGUAGGGAAUCUUCCACAAUGGGCGAAAGCCUGAUGGAGCAACGCCGCGUGUGUGAUGAAGGCUUUCGGGUCGUAAAGCACUGUUGUAUGGGAAGAACAGCUAGAGUAGGGAAUGACUUUAGUUUGACGGUACCAUACCAGAAAGGGACGGCUAAAUACGUGCCAGCAGCCGCGGUAAUACGUAUGUCCCGAGCGUUAUCCGGAUUUAUUGGGCGUAAAGCGAGCGCAGACGGUUGAUUAAGUCUGAUGUGAAAGCCCGGAGCUCAACUCCGGAAAGGCAUUGGAAACUGGUCAACUUGAGUGCAGUAGAGGUAAGUGGAACUCCAUGUGUAGCGGUGGAAUGCGUAGAUAUAUGGAAGAACACCAGCGGCGAAGGCGGCUUACUGGACUGUAACUGACGUUGAGGCUCGAAAGUGUGGUAGCAAACAGGAUUAGAUACCCUGGUAGUCCACACCGUAAACGAU
rnacentral:rRNA from 1 species